CAAUCUGAUGCAAAUAUAGAAAUCUGGGUCCAUCGUCAAUCGCGACAGUCCAGAACAGUCUAUACACUAUUGUAAAAAUAAACUCGGCAUCCUAACACGAGCGUAAACUCAUACUAUACUAACCCGGGUAUCCAUUGCAUACUAACAGCGAUGACACUACUGUAAAAAUAAACUCGGCAUCUCAGCACGAGCGUAAACUCAUCCUACACUAACCUGGAUAUCCAUCGCAUACUAACAGCGACGAUACAAUAAAACCACAGUUCCUAAAGCUAAAUCUGGUAAUUUUCAGAAAUGACAGUGUAGGAUCUAUAUGUUUUUUCCUAAGUCAAUAUCAAGUCCAACAUAUAAAAUUAAAUACUAGCUUAACUCCAAAUUCAGAUUUUAUAAUCUAAUCCAUGAAUUCGAGUACUA
rnacentral:lncRNA from 1 species